rnacentral:rRNA from 1 species
GACGAACGCUGGCGGCGUGCUUAACACAUGCAAGUCGAACGGUGAAAGCGGAGCUUGCUCCGCUGGAUCAGUGGCGAACGGGUGAGUAACACGUGGGCAACCUGCCCCUCACUUCGGGAUAACUCCGGGAAACCGGGGCUAAUACCGGAUAUGACCUCCUUGGGCAUCCUUGGAGGUGGAAAGUUUUUCGGUGAGGGAUGGGCCCGCGGCCUAGCAGCUUGUUGGUGAGGUAGUGGCUCACCAAGGCGACGACGGGGAGCCGGCCUGAGAGGGCGACCGGCCACACUGGGACUGAGACACGGCCCAGACUCCUACGGGGGGCAGCAGUGGGGAAUAUUGCGCAAGGGGCGAAAGACUGACGCAGCAACGCCGCGUGCGGGAUGACGGCCUUCGGGUUGUAAACCGCUUUCAGCAGGGAAGAAGCCGCAAGGUGACGGUACCUGCAGAAGAAGCACCGGCUAACUACGUGCCAGCAGCCGCCGUAA